rnacentral:misc_RNA from 1 species
GAUGAAGAACGCAGCGAAAUGCGAUACUUGGUGUGAAUUGCAGAAUCCUGUGAACCAUCGAGUCUUUGAACGCAAGUUGCGCCCGAAGCCGUCAGGCCGAGGGCACGCCUGCCUGGGCGUCACACGCCGUUGCCCCCCCGCGCCCCGCACCCAACUCUUUGGGAGCGACCGCGGGGCGGGCUGAUGAUGGCCUCCCGUGCGCUCCGCCGCGCGGUUGGCCCAAAUACCGAGUCCCCGGCGACGUGCGCCACGACGAUCGGUGGUUGAGAGACCUCUGUCGCAAGUCGUGCGCGCCCGUCGCGUCACGCGGGCUCGCAUAGCGCCUCGCGCCGCACCCGGUGCGGAGCUUUCAACGCGACCCCAGGUCAGGCGGGGUUACCCGCUGAAUUUAAGCAUAUCAAUAAGCGGAGGA